rnacentral:rRNA from 1 species
GAUGAACGCUGACAGAAUGCUUAACACAUGCAAGUCUACUUGAACUUCGGUUUGGGUGGCGGACGGGUGAGUAACGCGUAAAGAACUUGCCUCACAGAUAGGGACAACAUUUGGAAACGAAUGCUAAUACCUGAUAUUAUGAUUUUAGGGCAUCCUAGAAUUAUGAAAGCUAUAUGCACUGUGAGAGAGCUUUGCGUCCCAUUAGCUAGUUGGAGAGGUAACGGCUCACCAAGGCGAUGAUGGGUAGCCGGCCUGAGAGGGUGAUCGGCCACAAGGGGACUGAGACACGGCCCUUACUCCUACGGGAGGCAGCAGUGGGGAAUAUUGGACAAUGGACCAAGAGUCUGAUCCAGCAAUUCUGUGUGCACGAUGAAGUUUUUCGGAAUGUAAAGUGCUUUCAGUUGGGAAGAAAAAAAUGACGGUACCAACAGAAGAAGUGACGGCUAAAUACG